GGAAGCGUGAGUCCCAACAGGGGUCAUUCCGAUCACGCGGGUUCAAGUCCCGUCGCCUCCACCA
rnacentral:tRNA from 1 species